AGAAAAUACAAUCGUAUGAAUAUGAUGGGAAAUGGGAAAAUUAUUUCCCUUUACUGCUGGAUGGGAAAGUUGACUUCGGGUCGUUUUUCACAUACCUGAAGGACUGGGCUGCCAUUGGGACAACCCAUCCCGACUUGCCGAUCUUGACCCUGGUGUAUGAAGAUCUAAAAGAGGAUCCACUUCCCGGUAUUAGAAAGCUAGCUAAGUUUCUGAAUGCUGAGAAAUCAGAGGAAUUCUACCUUAAAGUAAAAGAGGUGACGAGUUUCAACAAAAU